UACGUAGGGGCCUAGCGUUGUCCGGAAUUAUUGGGCGUAAAGAGCUCGUAGGCGGUUCGGCAAGUCGGAUGUGAAAUCUCCACGCUUAACGUGGAGGGGCCAUUCGAAACUGCUGUGACUCGAGUCCGGUAGGGGAGUGUGGAAUUCCCGGUGUAGCGGUGAAAUGCGCAGAUAUCGGGAGGAACACCGGUGGCGAAGGCGGCGACCUGGUCCUUGACUGACGCUGAGGCGCGAAAGCGUGGGGAGCAAACAGG
rnacentral:rRNA from 1 species